rnacentral:rRNA from 1 species
UGCGNAUGGGCGAAAGCCUGACGCAGCGACGCCGCGUGGGGGAUGAAGCUUUUCGGAGUGUAAACCCCUUUCGACCCGGACGAAUGUCCCGCAAGGGAUUGACGGUACGGGUAUAAGAAGCCCCGGCUAACUACGUGCCAGCAGCCGCGGUAAGACGUAGGGGGCCAGCGUUGCUCGGAAUUACUGGGCGUAAAGGGUUCGUAGGCGGUGUGGCAAGUCGGAAGUGAAAUCUCCAGGCUUAACUUGGAGGCUGCUCCCGAAACUGCCAUGCUAGAGUGCGGGAGAGGCGAGUGGAAUUGCAGGUGUAGCGGUGAAAUGCGUAGAUAUCUGCAGGAACACCCGUGGCGAAGGCGGCUCGCUGGACCGCAACUGACGCUGAGGAACGAAAGCUAGGGGAGCAAACAGGAUUAGAUACCCUGGUAGUCCUAGCCCUAAACGAUCAGGACUUGGGGUGCAUCCCGUUGGGGGUGCGUCCCGUAGCUAACGCGUUAAGUCCUGCGCCUGGGGAGUACGGUCGCAAGGCUGAAACUCAAAAGAAUUGACGGA